rnacentral:rRNA from 1 species
GACGAACGCUGGCGGCGUGCUUAACACAUGCAAGUCGAACGGAAAGGCCCUGCUUUUGUGGGGUGCUCGAGUGGCGAACGGGUGAGUAACACGUGAGUAACCUGCCCUUGACUUUGGGAUAACUUCAGGAAACUGGGGCUAAUACCGGAUAGGAGCUCCUGCUGCAUGGUGGGGGUUGGAAAGUUUCGGCGGUUGGGGAUGGACUCGCGGCUUAUCAGCUUGUUGGUGGGGUAGUGGCUUACCAAGGCUUUGACGGGUAGCCGGCCUGAGAGGGUGACCGGCCACAUUGGGACUGAGAUACGGCCAAGACUCCUACGGGAGGCAGCAGUGGGGAAUAUUGCACAAUGGGCGGAAGCCUGAUGCAGCAACGCCGCGUGAGGGAUGACGGCCUUCGGGUUGUAAACCGCUUUCGCCUGUGACGAAGCGUGAGUGACGGUAAUGGGUAAAGAAGCACCGGCUAACUACGUG